rnacentral:sRNA from 1 species
CCCUCAAAUUUAUCGUUUACUUUACUAUUCAUUUUCUUCUUAUCCUUCUUCCCAGCCCCAGCGGCAGCCCCUACUCCACUUGACCGCUGUCCAAUCUUGUUCCUCCGAGCAACUUUGCCGAAUCGGCUUUUGACCUCACUAAUCCAACACUCACCCUUUCCAUCCGCCCUCAGCACCCGCCACGCUUCCUCAACAAAUGACACCCAAUUCGUCCCCAUCAAGCUAAGGCAGAAAAUAACCACAUCGACCGUCCCAUCUCCAACCGGCAGCGCCGCAAUAUCCGCUUUCGUAAUCAACGGGUCGGCCACAUGG